CAAGAUCAUGGACUGAUUUUUUUUUUUUUAACGAAAGGAGAAUCGUUUCAUUUAGAAUGCAAUCAGCAGUACAAUUGGGGGUAUUAAUAAAGAUAUAAGGAAUAGCUAAGUUAGUAGCCACUCUAACAACAUUAUGAACAAUUACAUUUGCUUGCUCUUUGAAAAUUGAACUAGUAAUUUGUCAUACUUAAAAGUAAAUCAAGACGAUGAGAAAUAAUGACUCCAAACUCAUGCACCCUCUUUAUUUUGGUUAAUACUGUCCACAAUCGCCUUGAAAUCAAGCUCAAAUAUAACACGUGCAAUUCCAAGGUCAGACCUCUGACCCACCCACUUGAUCGCAAGCAACAGACUCAUUGUCUCGCCUUCCCUUACACGAAGCUUUGGUUGAAUCUAGGAAGUUUGAACCCGAACAGAAUGACGUUUUUCAUCUCGCAAACAGCAGCCAAAAACUGUUGUAUGAUGAACAUAAUAAAAUAAAAUAAACAUCUGAGUUGUAUUUCCGUAGAUGUGUGACCCGUGUGGGGCUUACACCAGUUGAUUAUACAUGUUGGUUGAUCUUCAAUGUCAUGGGGUUGCAAGUUCAUGUUGGCCUGCCUUCAAUGAGCAAUAGUCUGCAUAGCCCUAUAGAAGACUUGGGAUGAUUCAUCUAUAACUUGCUCCCAAAGGUGGUUAUCCUGUUUUUUCCAUAAGCUCCACAAAGCGGAACCAAAAGUAGCUUGCCUCUCUGGGUUUAGCAUGUGCCGGACCUGGAAAAAAAAGUCUAAGAAUAUACCUGCAAUGAGAGGUCCAAGCAUUUUCACAUAGAUCGGCUUCUUUCCAACAUUGGACAGUUGAUGGGCACAAAACAAAAGUAUGCCACUCAUUUUCCAGCACUCCGGAGCACAACACAUAAAAAAAAAAAAAUUAAAAGACUACAAUCAUAAUAAAAAAUACUUAAGAGGAGCCAAAAUAUUAGUCAAGGAAACUCUCAAAACUUUGCCGAAAUUAAGGCUACAAUCAGAUGAUGAAAUCACAAGUACCAAGCCAAAACAACCAUCAGAUGAUUUAUGAAGAAAACAAAAACCCAGAUCAAGCAAGCACAACUGCAUAAGCAAAUUGCAAACCAUUCAGCCAAAAACUAUGGCAUGCAUCCUUGUCAAUUACACGAAAGAUUCAUCACUUGCACUAACAAACAAUUUACAUGUUCAAUCCAUCAUUCCACAGUGAAAAAAGCAAGCGAUCACUUUAAAGUGAAAAUAAAUAUAUGGAAUGUCCAAUCAACGACAUUUAUUAUAAAACCAGAAAAUAUAUAAGUUCACAGUACAUCUGAUCAUCAGACAUUUCAAAAUAAACCAUAAUGAAGUUCCAGUAGCAAACAUGUACCACAAUUCCAGAUUCAAACUGGAAAUUAGGACUAUGAAAUGAAAUAAAAAAAUAAAAAAGAUAAUUCUCCCAGGAGCAAACCAUAUCACAACUUGACGAUAGUUAACUCCAAG
rnacentral:lncRNA from 1 species